rnacentral:rRNA from 1 species
AGCGAACGCUGGCGGCAGGCCUAACACAUGCAAGUCGAACGAACUCUUCGGAGUUAGUGGCGGACGGGUGAGUAACACGUUGGAACGCGCCUUUUGGUUCGGAAUAACUCAGGGAAACUUGUGCUAAUACCGAAUGUGCCCUUCGGGGGAAAGAUUUAUCGCCAUUAGAGCGGCCCGCGUCUGAUUAGCUAGUUGGUGAGGUAACGGCUCACCAAGGCGACGAUCAGUAGCUGGUCUGAGAGGAUGACCAGCCACACUGGGACUGAGACACGGCCCAGACUCCUACGGGAAGCAGCAGUGGGGAAUCUUGCGCAAUGGGCGAAAGCCUGACGCAGCCAUGCCGCGUGAAUGAUGAAGGUCUUAGGAUUGUAAAAUUCUUUCACCGGGGACGAUAAUGACGGUACCCGGAGAAUAAGCCCCGGCUAACUUCGUG